rnacentral:lncRNA from 1 species
GUAGAUAAUAACACUGGUAAAUUCACAUGAUUUGUCAAUUGGCUACAUCCGCGGGUCACAGCCAACUAUUGAACACUUCACUAAAAUUGAAAAAGAUCGAGGACACAAUACAAUUUUAAAAACAAACUUCAUUUUUAAAAUUGACAGUGUCCUGUAAUAUCAAUUAUUUGUUCAAUUAGCACUGAAUGUCUUGUCGGUUUUAAGCUUUUGAACUUCCUCCAAAGAUGCAAAUCUUCAACCCGUGAAGAACACGACCAUUUCUCUCAAAAAUUACAAUAGAUGGUCUCGAAACACUUCAAAGAUUUCUUAGUGUAUUAUGCAUGAUUCUAGGAAUCAUAGAGAUUAUUUUGCUACAUAUUAUUUCCUAGAUUAGUUUUGUUUCCUUACAUAGCAGAUUUCAUAUAUAUAUAUAUAUAUAUAUGUGUGUGUGUGUGUGUAUCAAUGUAUUACAUACAAAAUUAAUGAAGUUUAUUUUCAUUACAUUGAAACUUAGGCCCUGUUUGGUAGGGAUUUUGAGAAUUGAUUUUUUAACCGUUAGAAUAAAAGUGGGGUCCAUAUAUGAGAGAAGAAGUCAAAAAUUACGACUUGAAUAGUAAAAUAACGAACAAAAAAUCAAUUUUUUUGGCAAAAAAUCCCUACCAAACGGAGCCUUAACAUGGUAUCAGAGCAUUAGGUUUUGAAAUUCAUACCUUUGCUUCUACCAUGGCCGAAUCCCCUGCCUUAGACAUCAACAAGUCUCUCACUGAUGCUUCAUCCACAUACUUCCUGCAUUCAUCUGACCAACCAAAUCAGUUCCUUGUGGAUACACCUCUUAAUGGCGAGAAUUAUCCCGCUUGGUGUCGAGCAAUCACUCGAGCACUUAAUGCCAAGAACGAAUUGGGCUUUGUUCUCGGCACCAUCAAACGACCCACCGAAGACUCCGCUGCAGCAUUACUCUGGGACCGAUGGUGUGACAUGAUAAUGUCAUGGAUGCUCCAUUCCAUCGAUCGCUUGCUUACAGGCAGCCUUCUCUAUUGUGCUACACCGAAUGGUUUAUGAGUAGAACUAGAAACCCGCUCCCAACAAAGCAACCGCACCAAAGUUUUCCAACUAAAACGGGAUUUGGCCAAUCUCCACCAGGAACAAAAUUCAAUUACAGCAUACUAUGGAAAAUUGAAGGAGUUAUGGGAUGAAUUAGGCUCCUUACAACCAAUCAGUCCAUGUACAUGUGAUGCCCGUAAAUCUCUCGUUGAAUCUCAAGACACAGAUCGGGUUUAUCAAUUCCUUAUGGGCCUUAAUGAAAGUUUUUAGCAAAUUCGAUCACAGAUCUUAGCCACAGAUCCACGCCCUUCUAUUACUCGUUGCUAUGCUAUCCUCCAUCGAGAAGAAACCCAACAUUUGCUCCAAUUAAACCCAGCUCGACCGGAUGCCUCAGCUCUAAUCGCCCGCUCGACGCCACGACGGACUCAACCUCGUCCUCGUCGAGUCUGGCCCACCGGAACUCCUUUCUGUGAAGUGUGUGGUAAACCCGGCCAUCAACGUGACAAAUUCUUCGAGGUUAUUGGGUACCCAGAAUGGUGGCCAUCCAAGAGUAAACGCAGCACAGUCGGUUCCUCGUCGCCGGCAGUCCAUCAAGUUUCUGCCGCCGCCAACUCCUCAGCCAUGAGUGAAAUUUUUUGUCUCUCCACUGAGCAAUAUUCCCAAUUAAUGGAACUCUUCAAAAGCCCAGCUCUCUCCUUCACAGGUCCCUCUGCUCGCCCCUCUCCUUUUGAUAAACUGUGGGUUGUGGAUGGUGGUGCCACACACCACAAUACCACUUUACCCCUAAAUAAUUCUAGCACCGGUACUUGUCCAUCUUUUGUCUUCCUCCCCACAGGUUCACAGGCUCCCGUGUCCAGUACGGGUGAUGUUAAAUUAUCUUCUCGUUUCUUACUUUCUAAUGUUUUAUCUAUACCUGAUUUUAAAUUUAAUUUGUUAUCGGUUAGUCAACUAACGAAAUCACUCAAUUGUGUCGUUUCCUUCUUUCCAACCUUUUGUGUCUUUCAGGACCUAUACACGAAGAUGCUGAUUGGCAUAGGUGAAGAGCGUAAUGGAUUGUACUACUUCAAGCCAGCUCUCGUUACUGCUCUCUAGUCGUCCAGUCACAUUUCUUUUGACACAUGGCAUCAAUGCUCGGGUCAUCCCUCCUUAAAUAAUCUUCCGUAUUUUAUUUCUCGUUCUAAAGUUAUUGAACAU